GCUCUAAUAGCUUAAACACCAAAGCAUUGUUCUUGUAAACCAAAAAUUGGGCCAACCCCAUUAGAGCA
rnacentral:tRNA from 1 species